AAAUUGAAGAGUUUGAUCAUGGCUCAGAUUGAACGCUGGCGGCAGGCCUAACACAUGCAAGUCGAGCGGAAACGAGUUAACUGAACCUUCGGGGAACGUUAACGGCGUCGAGCGGCGGACGGGUGAGUAAUGCCUAGGAAAUUGCCCUGAUGUGGGGGAUAACCAUUGGAAACGAUGGCUAAUACCGCAUAAUGCCUUCGGGCCAAAGAGGGGGACCUUCGGGCCUCUCGCGUCAGGAUAUGCCUAGGUGGGAUUAGCUAGUUGGUGAGGUAAGGGCUCACCAAGGCGACGAUCCCUAGCUGGUCUGAGAGGAUGAUCAGCCACACUGGAACUGAGACACGGUCCAGACUCCUACGGGAGGCAGCAGUGGGGAAUAUUGCACAAUGGGCGCAAGCCUGAUGCAGCCAUGCCGCGUGUAUGAAGAAGGCCUUCGGGUUGUAAAGUACUUUCAGCAGUGAGGAAGGUGGUGUAGUAGUUAAUAACUGCAUCAUUUGACGUUAGCUGCAGAAGAAGCACCGGCUAACUCCGUGCCAGCAGCCGCGGUAAUACGGAGGGUGCGAGCGUUAAUCGGAAUUACUGGGCGUAAAGCGCAUGCAGGUGGUUUGUUAAGUCAGAUGUGAAAGCCCGGGGCUCAACCUCGGAAUUGCAUUUGAAACUGGCAGACUAGAGUACUGUAGAGGGGGGUAGAAUUUCAGGUGUAGCGGUGAAAUGCGUAGAGAUCUGAAGGAAUACCGGUGGCGAAGGCGGCCCCCUGGACAGAUACUGACACUCAGAUGCGAAAGCGUGGGGAGCAAACAGGAUUAGAUACCCUGGUAGUCCACGCCGUAAACGAUGUCUACUUGGAGGUUGUGGCCUUGAGCCGUGGCUUUCGGAGCUAACGCGUUAAGUAGACCGCCUGGGGAGUACGGUCGCAAGAUUAAAACUCAAAUGAAUUGACGGGGGCCCGCACAAGCGGUGGAGCAUGUGGUUUAAUUCGAUGCAACGCGAAGAACCUUACCUACUCUUGACAUCCAGAGAAGCCAGUAGAGAUACAGGUGUGCCUUCGGGAACUCUGAGACAGGUGCUGCAUGGCUGUCGUCAGCUCGUGUUGUGAAAUGUUGGGUUAAGUCCCGCAACGAGCGCAACCCUUAUCCUUGUUUGCCAGCGAGUAAUGUCGGGAACUCCAGGGAGACUGCCGGUGAUAAACCGGAGGAAGGUGGGGACGACGUCAAGUCAUCAUGGCCCUUACGAGUAGGGCUACACACGUGCUACAAUGGCGCAUACAGAGGGCAGCAAGCUAGCGAUAGUGAGCGAAUCCCAAAAAGUGCGUCGUAGUCCGGAUUGGAGUCUGCAACUCGACUCCAUGAAGUCGGAAUCGCUAGUAAUCGUGGAUCAGAAUGCCACGGUGAAUACGUUCCCGGGCCUUGUACACACCGCCCGUCACACCAUGGGAGUGGGCUGCAAAAGAAGUAGGUAGUUUAACCUUCGGGAGAACGCUUACCACUUUGUGGUUCAUGACUGGGGUGAAGUCGUAACAAGGUAGCCCUAGGGGAACCUGGGGCUGGAUCACCUCCUUA
rnacentral:rRNA from 1 species